UGCGUAGGCGGUCUUUUAAGUCAGUGGUGAAAUCCUGCGGCUCAACCGUAGAACUGCCAUUGAAACUGAAAGACUUGAAUACACCAGAGGUAAGCGGAAUGUGUAGUGUAGCGGUGAAAUGCUUAGAUAUUACACAGAACACCAAUUGCGAAGGCAGCUUACCAUAGUGUCAUUGACGCUGAUGCACGAAAGCGUGGGGAGCGAACAGGAUUAGAUACCCUGGUAGUCC
rnacentral:rRNA from 1 species